rnacentral:rRNA from 1 species
UACGAAGGUGGCUAGCGUUGUUCGGAAUUACUGGGCGUAAAGCGCACGUAGGCGGCCUUGUAAGAUGGGGGUGAAAUCCCAGGGCUCAACCCGGGAACUGCCUUCAUGACUGCAAAGCUAGAGGAUGCGAGAGGUUAGCGGAAUUGCGAGUGUAGAGGUGAAAUUCGUAGAUAUUCGGAAGAACACCAGUGGCGAAGGCGGCUAACUGGCGCAUUUCUGACGCUGAGGUGCGAAAGCGUGGGGAGCAAACAGG